rnacentral:rRNA from 1 species
UACAGAGGGUGCAAGCGUUGUUCGGAAUUAUUGGGCGUAAAGGGAGUGUAGGUGGUUUGAAAAGUCUUCUGUGAAAUCUACGGGCUUAGCCUGUAAAGUGCAGAGGAUACUAUCAGGCUUGAGUAUCGGAGAGGAUAGGGGAAUACCCAGUGUAGAGGUGAAAUUCGUAGAGAUUGGGUGGAACACCAGUGGCGAAGGCGCCUAUCUGGCCGAUAACUGACGCUGAGACUCGAAAGCAUGGGGAGCAAACAGG